CGCAGCCGCGGUAAUUCCAGCUCCAAUAGCGUAUAUUAAAGUUGUUGCAGUUAAAAAGCUCGUAGUUGAAUUUCGGGAUUGACACAUCGGUCGUGCCUUAAGGGGUAUGAACUGGUGUAGUCAAUUUCUCACCUUCUGGAGAACCGCGAUGCCCUUAAUUGGGUGUCACGGGGAACCAGGACCUUUACUUUGAAAAAAUUAGAGUGUUUAAAGCAGGCAUUUUGCUUGAAUACAUUAGCAUGGAAUAAUAAAAUAGGACGGCAUGAUUCUAUUUUGUUGGUUUCUAGGAUCACCGUAAUGAUUAAUAGGGAUAGUUGGGGGCAUUAGUAUUCAAUUGUCAGAGGUGAAAUUCUUGGAUUUAUUGAAGACUAACUACUGCGAAAGCAUUUGCCAAGGAUGUUUUCAUUAAUCAAGAACGAAAGUUAGGGGAUCGAAGACGAUCAGAUACCGUCGUAGUCUUAACCAUAAACUAUGCCGACUAGGAAUCAGACGAUGUUAAUUUUUUAAUG
rnacentral:sRNA from 1 species